rnacentral:rRNA from 1 species
GGGGAAUAUUGGACAAUGGGCGCAAGCCUGAUCCAGCCAUACCGCGUGGGUGAAGAAGGCCUUCGGGUUGUAAAGCCCUUUUGUUGGGAAAGAAAAGCAGCCGGUUAAUACCCGGUUGUUCUGACAGUACCCAAAGAAUAAGCACCGGCUAACUUCGUGCCAGCAGCCGCGGUAAUACGAAGGGUGCAAGCGUUACUCGGAAUUACUGGGCGUAAAGCGUGCGUAGGUGGUUGUUUAAGUCUGUCGUGAAAGCCCUGGGCUCAACCUGGGAAUGGCGAUGGAAACUGGGCGACUAGAGUGUGGCGGAGGGUAGUGGAAUUCCUGGUGUAGCAGUGAAAUGCGUAGAGAUCAGGAGGAACAUCCGUGGCGAAGGCGACUGCCUGGGCCAACACUGACACUGAGGCACGAAAGCGUGGGGAGCAAACA